rnacentral:lncRNA from 1 species
CUGUACAAGCCUAUAGAAAAUUUGUACUUCGUUGAACAAUUAUAUUCAAGCUGAAAAAUACCCAUGAAAUCCACAAAAAUUGGUAUCCCACAAAUAAUACUGAGUCCACAAUAUAUGAGGCUUCAUCCUCGAAGACUGCACUUUACAGAAUUCUGUAGUUUUAAUAGCAUAUUCCUCAAAAUGUAAUGCCUUUUUUUUCCCCUGUGACAAACAAUGGUUGCACUGGUUUAAAUACUCUGUCAGCAAAAGUCAUACACUAAACUUCAGUUUGACAUACAUUAAGAUAUAGCCCUGCUGACAUUCAGUGCCAACCUUAAUGAGAAACUAUUAAUAAAAGUCCCCGUUUUGUUUGAUUUUCUGAUUAAAGUCCUCUAAGCCUAUUUAUUACCUCUUUAAGAGAAUCUAUUUAAUUUUGUUACCAAUUUUUUUUAUUUCAUAAAAAAUAUAU